AGGGAUCAUUACCGAGUUUACAACUCCCAAACCCCUGUGAACAUACCAAUUGUUGCCUCGGCGGAUCAGCCCGCUCCCGGUAAAACGGGACGGCCCGCCAGAGGACCCCUAAACUCUGUUUCUAUAUGUAACUUCUGAGUAAAACCAUAAAUAAAUCAAAACUUUCAACAACGGAUCUCUUGGUUCUGGCAUCGAUGAAGAACGCAGCAAAAUGCGAUAAGUAAUGUGAAUUGCAGAAUUCAGUGAAUCAUCGAAUCUUUGAACGCACAUUGCGCCCGCCAGUAUUCUGGCGGGCAUGCCUGUUCGAGCGUCAUUUCAACCCUCAAGCCCUCGGGUUUGGUGUUGGGGAUCGGCGAGCCCUUGCGGCAAGCCGGCCCCGAAAUCUAGUGGCGGUCUCGCUGCAGCUUCCAUUGCGUAGUAGUAAAACCCUCGCAACUGGUACGCGGCGCGGCCAAGCCGUUAAACCCCCAACUUCUGAAUGUUGACCUCGGAUCAGGUAGGAAUACCCGCUGAACUUAA
rnacentral:rRNA from 1 species